UACAGAGGUCUCAAGCGUUGUUCGGAUUCAUUGGGCGUAAAGGGGUGCGUAGGCGGCGCGGUAAGUCGGGUGUGAAAUCUCGGAGCUUAACUCCGAAACUGCAUUCGAUACUGCCGUGCUUGAGGACUGGAGAGGAGACUGGAAUUGACGGUGAGCGGUGAAAUGCGUAGAUAUCGUAAGGAAGACCAGUGGCGAAGGCGGGUCUCUGGACA
rnacentral:rRNA from 1 species